rnacentral:rRNA from 1 species
GAUGAACGCUAGCGGCAGGCUUAACACAUGCAAGUCGAGGGGUAGAGGAAGCUUGCUUCCUUGAGACCGGCGCACGGGUGCGUAACGCGUAUACAAUCUACCUUUUACAGAGGGAUAGCCCCAGAGAAAUUUGGAUUAAUACCUCAUAGUAUUUUCGGAUCGCAUGAUUUGAUUAUUAAAGUUCCAACGGUAAAGAUGAGUAUGCGUCCCAUUAGCUAGAUGGUAAGGUAACGGCUUACCAUGGCAAUGAUGGGUAGGGGUCCUGAGAGGGAGAUCCCCCACACUGGUACUGAGACACGGACCAGACUCCUACGGGAGGCAGCAGUGAGGAAUAUUGGACAAUGGGCGCAAGCCUGAUCCAGCCAUGCCGCGUGCAGGAAUAAGGUCCCUAUGGAUUGUAAACUGCUUUUAUACAGGAAGAAAC